rnacentral:rRNA from 1 species
CCCUGCCCUUUGUACACACCGCCCGUCGCUCCUACCGAUUGAAUGAUCCGGUGAAAUCUCCGGAUGGUGAUGCAUAACUGUGGGGGCAACCUUACAGUAGCAUUGUCAGAAGUUGCUUAAACCUUAUC